GGCUGUGGCAACGGCAUGCGGCAUGGAGCGGCGGUGGCGUCCGGGCGGAGCAGCGCAGCGACAUGUUUAAUGUUGAUUCUGAUCUUUUUGGUAGAAGGAGAAACCCCAAAAUUGAGAUGGGGGAAAGAGAACGAGCUACCUAUGAAUGGUGGCAAGUCUCGAUUCCAUCGACGAUGCUGUAGCGGGUCGAGGGGACUUCAAGGAGUGCCGAUCUGCUGCUUGGAAUUAGCUUGCGCAUUUUUUACCAGAGGGAAUGGCUAUAUUUCUUGAAUCCGUGAAGGUUCUUGGCAAUUUGCCACUCGCAAGGGUCACCAUGGACAACAACUAGGACAUGUGAAGGCAAGCAUUGCAACUCUGGAGCUCUCCCUGUGCGUUCCUGUCUGCUAUGAGCUCCUACAUAUGGAUUUGUGAGAUUACUUAAUUCAAUGCGUCUAGGUGGACAUCACGAACAAGUACAGCGGAUCCUUUAUUGCUGGAGGCAAAAACUGUGUGUUUCAUUUUUUUUAACGCAAUCAGAUGCAUUUUUCCCCAAACACAGGACACACACAAUUUUUUUGGUUGUUUUUCCACAUGCAGUCACGAUUGUGGGUUCCACAUGUUGAUGCAUGCUCAACAUUGGGGAUGGGCGUUCAGUGUGCAACUUCAAGAAAAGGACAUUUCAAUAUUCGAAAGAUCCUGACGCACACGUGGCUUAAUUUUGGAGAAAAUGACACAGUGGGGAAGCAUGCUGAAUUUGGCAUAGGCUCUACAACAGUGGACUCAAAUCAGGUUCGACAACAGUGGAUUCUACAUCAACAUGCCUAUCCGGAUUCUCACAUACACAGUUUAGUUUUUGUAAUUGAAGAUCUGCUGUUUUUGCAUCUGGGGGGAUAUGUUUUCCCCAGUGGAUUUUAUUGCUAGAACCUAGGAACAAAGUUGCACAGGAUUGCCGAAUAAAAGAUUGGGAUUCCAUCUGCGUGUCA